rnacentral:rRNA from 1 species
GACGAACGCUGGCGGCGUGCUUAACACAUGCAAGUCGAACGGAAAGACCCUGCUUUUGUGGGGUGCUCGAGUGGCGAACGGGUGAGUAACACGUGAGUAACCUGCCCUUGACUUUGGGAUAACUUCAGGAAACUGGGGCUAAUACCGGAUAGGAGCUCCUGCUGCAUGGUGGGGGUUGGAAAGUUUCGGCGGGUGGGGAUGGACUCGCGGCUUAUCAGCUUGUUGGUGGGGUAGUGGCUUACCAAGGCUUUGACGGGUCGGCGGCCUGAGAGGGUGAACGGGGACCAUGGGACUGAGGGAGGGACCAGAGUGCAACGGGAGGCAGCAGGGGGGAAUAUGGCACAGUGGGCGGAAGCGUGAUGCAGCAACGCCGGGUGCGGGAUGACGGCCUUUGGGUUGUAAACCGCUUUAGCCUGAGACGAAGCGUGAGUGACGGUAACGGGUAAAGAAGCACCGGCUAACUACGUG